rnacentral:rRNA from 1 species
AAAGAGUCUUUUGGCGAACGGGUGCGUAACACGUGGGCAAUCUGCCUUAAAGUGGGGGAUAGCUCGGCGAAAGCCGAAUUAAUACCGCAUGUGAUCAGGGGAGACAUCUUCCCGAAAUCAAAAGUGGCGCAAGCUACUGCUUUUUGAGGAGCCCGCGGCCUAUCAGCUAGUUGGUGAGGUAAUGGCUCACCAAGGCUUUGACGGGUAGCUGGUCUGAGAGGACGACCAGUCACACUGGAACUGAGACACGGUCCAGACACCUACGGGUGGCAGCAGUCGAGAAUUUUUCUCAAUGGGGGCAACCCUGAAGGAGCGACGCCGCGUGGAGGAUGAAGGUCUUCGGGUUGUAAACUCCUGUCAUUUGGGAACAAGUGUCGGUACGUAACUGCUACCGGCUUGAUAGUACCAGAAGAGGAAGAGACGGCUAACUCUGUGCCAGCAGCCGCGGU